rnacentral:rRNA from 1 species
UACGUAGGGGGCAAGCGUUGUCCGGAUUUAUUGGGCGUAAAGAGCGUGUAGGCGGCCAGGUAGGUCCGUUGUGAAAACUCGAGGCUCAACCUCGAGACGUCGGCGGAAACCCUCUGGCUAGAGUCCGGAAGAGGAGAGUGGAAUUCCUGGUGUAGCGGUGAAAUGCGCAGAUAUCAGGAGGAACACCGGUGGCGAAGGCGGUUCUCUGGGCAUUACCUGACGCUGAGGAGCGAAAGUGUGGGGAGCGAACAGG